rnacentral:rRNA from 1 species
UAGGGAAUCUUCGGCAAUGGACGGAAGUCUGACCGAGCAACGCCGCGUGAGUGAAGAAGGUUUUCGGAUCGUAAAGCUCUGUUGUAAGAGAAGAAUGAGUGUGAGAGUGGAAAGUUCACACUGUGACGGUAUCUUACCAGAAAGGGACGGCUAACUACGUGCCAGCAGCCGCGGUAAUACGUAGGUCCCAAGCGUUGUCCGGAUUUAUUGGGCGUAAAGCGAGCGCAGGCGGUUAGAUAAGUCUGAAGUUAAAGGCUGUGGCUUAACCAUAGUACGCUUUGGAAACUGUUUAACUUGAGUGCAAGAGGGGAGAGUGGAAUUCCAUGUGUAGCGGUGAAAUGCGUAGAUAUAUGGAGGAACGCCGGUGGCGAAAGCGGCUCUCUGGCUUGUAACUGACGCUGAGGCUCGAAAGCGUGGGGAGCAAACAGGAUUAGAUACCCUGGUAGUCCACGCCGUAAACGAUGAGUGCUAGGUGUUAGACCCUUUCCGGGGUUUAGUGCCGCAGCUAACGCAUUAAGCACUCCGCCUGGGGAGUACGACCGCAAGGUUG